ensembl:lncRNA
GAGUGGGAGUGCCUUCCACCCCCUCCCAACCAAAGGACUUUGGUUGAAGGAGAGAAAGAGAAUGACACUGGGGUUCACGGCAAGGUCUCCUGUCCACGUGGUGAUGUGGCUGCAGAGGCUUCCGGUGGGAACACAUGGACUUCCCACCCCCGUGCUCCAUCUGCCCACACUCGGUCAUAUCUUUGCUACCUUCCUGGCAUCUGAAGGGUCUAGGAGUCUGAAUGCCAUUAGUCACCACACUGCCAGGCAUCUACGUGGAUACAGACAUAGGAGGGACUCUCAGGGGAGAGCUAGCAACCAAAACACCCCACACCAUGGCUUGCUGGUGAGUCCCGUCACCUGCACCCAGCAGGAACCUUUAUGACCCCUGUGACCAGCCUAUCCUUCAGGUCUGUCCAGUUCUCAGACCCUUGCCCACCUGACCUGGACCAGCUCUCCUUCAAAAGGAUGCUGACUCAUAACAGAGGCAGACGGUUACAUUUUCCCAGCAUAAAGGACACUGCUUUCUCUUAGAAAACAUAAUUUUGGUUCCUGAAUCUGAUUAUAAAUGAGGAAACUCCAUCACCAUGGAUGCACUGUGGCUCCCUGUGCAGAGUGGGGAGCCCUGUAGCAGAUUUUCUUCACAUGUCAUAACAGGGACAAAAGGGCUCCAAGCUCAGCAGUGAAAAGAGAUGCUGCCCUUAAU